UCGGUGGUGGCCGACCGGCUCGACGGCGUGCCGGUGCCGCUGGUCGCGGCCCGGUUCCACGCCGGGCUCGCCGAUC
rnacentral:tRNA from 1 species